AGUGAACGCUGGCGGCAGGCCUAACACAUGCAAGUCGAGCGGAAGCACGGUGCUUGCUCGCGGUUUCGGCGGGGGACGGGCGGGCGAUGCCGGAGAAUAUCCGAGUCUGCUUUUGAUAAGGUCCUGACACGGGCGCUAAUACCCCAUUCGCGCAGAGGGCGAACGGGGGGGAGCAUGGGAUCUUCCGCCCUUGGGUGAGCCUAGGUCGGAUUGGCUAGUUGGUGGGGUAAAGGCCUACCGAGGCGACGAUCCGUAACUGGUCUGAGAGGAUGAGCAGCCACACUGGAACUGAGACACGGUCCAGACUCCUACGGGAGGCAGCAGUGGGGAAUAUUGGACAAUGGGCGCAAGCCUGAUCCAGCCAUGCCGCGUGUGUGAAGAAGGUCUUCGGGUUGUAAAGCCCUUUUAGUUGGGGAGAAGGGCAGUAGGUUAAUACCUCGCUGUUUUGACGUUACCAAAAGAAUAAGCACCGGCUAACUUCGUG
rnacentral:rRNA from 1 species